GACGGAGGGUGCAAGCGUUACUCGGAAUCACUGGGCGUAAAGGGUACGUAGGCGGCCCGCUAAGUUGGAUGUGAAAUCCCACGGUUCAACCGUGGAACUGCGUCCAAAACUGGUGGGCUUGAGAACGGUAGGGGACAGUGGAACUCCAGGUGGAGCGGUGAAAUGCGUAGAGAUCUGGAGGAACAUCAGUGGCGAAGGCGGCUUCCUGGACCAACAUUGACGCUGAGGUGCGAAAGCGUGGGUAGCAAACAGG
rnacentral:rRNA from 1 species